AUUUCUUCGAGCUCCCUUCUCGUUCGAGAUCUACUCUUCGUUUCUUUUCCUCUGCUCGGAUCUGUUAUUGUGGAUGAGAUUUAGGUUAUUCGUCUUCGAUUUUAAACGUUUUGACAUGCUAUAGUGGCGAUCUAUUGAUGGAUUAGGGUUUUAUUGCUCAUUUCACUGUUUUAAGUUUGUUAGGCUCUUCUUUCUGGAUUUUGAGGAUUUUCCCGUUGAUUAUGUUUUAGGAAGCAUCUUUUGUGGUUCAAUGGAACUUACUGGCAUCGCUCGAUGUAUCAUCUCUCUAUGGCAAAUCUAUGAUAGCUUUUCUUCUCAUGGUGGUUGGUGGGUUGGGUUCCACAAGCAAACCUGUGAGGCCAUCUCAAGCUUUUCCCUCUCUCUCUCUCUCAUGGCUCCAUGGGGUACCAAAUACUUUCUGUUCCUCUCCGUGUUACUGGCAGAGUUGAGCUUCUGCUUUGCAUCAUAGGCUUAUAUCAUUUAUAUGGGAAGCAAAAGCAAUGAUGACCCAGAUGAGGUAUUGAGACGGAAUCACCAAAUGCUCGCUGUUCAUGGAGGAAGGUUUGAAUAGGACUAAUAUUCUUGUUGCAGAGGACUAAAUCCAUGGAACUCAGAAUCACCAAUAAAAAAGCAAGAAUGGAAGAUUAUUAGUAGUUAUCAAAAGUUUGAAUGAAGAUUGGGUGGAUGACCUCUGACCUUUAAAAGGAAAAAAUCUUUUUAAAUAAAUUUUUUUCUGAAAAAAAUAAUUAUAACGGCGCUUUAAAGCGUCACUAACUAAAAAAAUAAGCAGUUAAAAGCCGAUGCUUUCAAGUGUCGCUAACUGCUCGAAGCGUAUAAACAUCGGCUUUUAGCGACGCUUUUAAACGUCGCUAAAAACCAUCCUUUAACACGCUUUCCAAAAGCGUUGGUAAAUUUUUUUUCUACUCUCACCUAGCUAGUGCUUUUGAAACGCUUUAGAAAACGUUGGCGGAAAAAUUACCGAUGCUUAUAAGCAUUGCUAUUGGCUUUAAAAAGCGCUAGAAAAGAUUUUUUUUUUUUUGUAGUGCUAUCAUACAUUUAUUUGCUUUUUUAUGAGGAACUAUAUUUAAUGAAUUUUGUCUCUUAAUUAAUGAUAUUAAAACUAAAGCUUAUUUAGAAGUAUGUCACUUUCAAGUUUUGGCACUUAAUCAGUAGGUUGAUUAGAAUGAUGUGACUAUUGGACAUGCUUAUUUAUAGUAAUGCAUCUGCGACUCUGCAUCUUAUUCUUCAUGUUGAAUAAAAUUAGAAUACCUCAUUUCUAAAUCUAUUGAGGAUAUGUAAUUAUAUUCUUGAUGGAAUUAAUAUAGAAAAAAGAGGGUGCCUUUGUAAUAUGUGUGAUAUACACGAUGGAGAAUAUAUAGAUAGUAACAACUUCAGUGUUGUCCUGUGCUGAACUAAAUAUUAUGGUUUUGACUGCAGAUAUGUUGAGGACAUGAUAUAAAGUUCCACGCUGUUCUUUUAUUCUUGCAGCUGAUAUUGUUGCAUAUCAACCUGUAGUUACCAUGGAUUUAUUCAAACAAUCCAUGCUGAUUACGUUAUCAACAUUGUAUCGUAUCAGUUGUAACUUUGACAUUCUCUUUGAUAAUUAUUUGAUAUCUUUUUUUCUGCUUAUAGUUUCAACCAGAUCUUGAAAUCAAAGAAAAUACAUCUGUAGAAGUACCAGAAUCUAGGUUUGCAUCGUAAACGCAUGGAAGUGAUUCGGUAAAGUAUCCACAUGAUUCAGUUGAGGAUGGGAUCUGCAUUUUAAUGAUUUCUUUACUAGUUGAGGGGACUUCUUCUGUCACAUUGCUGUCAUGUCAACAUGGUUUUUAUGCAGUGAACAUUUGAUACUUAUCUGUAUAUAAUUCUUUUUCUUAUUUAUCCAUUCACGAGUCAAAUUCAUCAUUCGAGGUACCCAUAUGAUGCAUGUAUACGGUUUCAACUUUCAAACUUCUAUGGCCAAUCAAGGUGCAAUGAAAAUGCACAAAUUCACGCCCAAUUUGGCUACACCCCUUUUGUCAUAGCCUUAUGCAAUAGGUGCUGGAAUAUAUGUGCUGACAUGAUGGUCUAUCUUCAUCACAUGUUGUGGGGUAUAUUUACCUGUGUAAGAUAGUUUCUGCAGUGGUGCUACCUGAAUAUAAGCUUUCACAGUAUUGGAAAUAAAUAUAGAACAUCUACAUUGUACUUGUGUAAGUAUAGUUACAUUCUCCCCCAUAACUUAUACCAUUAGUUUUGAAGUCAUUUGUAUUGAUAAUUUCGGACUUAUAGGCUAUGGGCUAUUCAUUCGGUAAAUGACUUGAAACUGUGCGAGGUAUUUUAAAAUUGAGAGAGAGAGAGAGAGAGAGAGAGAGAGAGCAAAAUAGGGUGUCUUGUUAGUUGCAAGCCUACCUGCUGAUAUGCAAAGUUCUGACUUGAAACUGUGCAAGGUAUUUUAAAAUUUAGAGAGAGAGAGAGAGCAAAAUAGGGUGUCUUGCUAGUUGCAAGCCUGCCUGCUGAUAUGCAAAGUUCUGCUGCUAACAUGUGUAAUCAUGUUCUCAUGCCAUUUUUUUCACAAUGUGCAAAGUUGCUUGGUAAUCACUUCUCCGAACUUGUGCAUUUAAUAUUGAAUGGAGUUGUAUCUGGAUUCACGUCUUAUUGAGAUACUUCACAUCAACUAAUAACCUUUAUCAAUUUUCCAAUUCAUGGUUUAUUUCUUAUAACUGAUGCUGUGUUAAUCUUUUUUCCUAUCGUCCUGGUUUAUUUUGUGGGUUAAGGUGACUUCUCAAAUCUAGAAUAUUAAGUCCACCUUCGAACUUAUGUUAAUGCACUUCAUAGAUGCCAGCUUCCUGUCUUAGUAUGACUGACCACUAAGUUUUGUGAUGCAUUGAACUAUUUUUCAGUUUAAUCUUACGUUGCUGUUGCAUAUGAAAGCUUUUUGUACGAUUAUCUGGCCAGUUUCAGUAUAUAUCUGGUCACAGGCCAGGUAAGUUUCUAUAUACCUAUAUUUCACUUUCAACGUUAAAAAAUUCUGUUGUAUUCCAUUUCAAGUGGCUAAUGAAUUCAUAUGUAAUGCAACUUGAGAUCAUUGGGUUAUUAUUUGCACAUAUUGCCUAAGAUGAAGUGGAAUGGGGAGUUGUGCUGUUAUCACUUGUGUAGAUUGUGCGACCAUGCCAGGUAUUCUUGUUUGUUUUAUUGCUAAAUCUGCUUAACUGAUAUCAACCAGAGAGAUUUUUUUUAGGUCCAGUAUGGCUUUUAAUAGUUUAUGUUUGUUAUUCUUUUGCAUUUUUUCAUAAUUUUAAUUGCUGCCUUGCCCUUGCAGGUGAGAAGGGCUCAUUCAUCGUAGACUCAACUUCAAAAGUUUCGAGUGAGUUAAAAUAUUUAUCCAAGUGCACGUGGGCACGUAUUGAAGAAUUCAGAAUUGUGGAAUUUUUGUUUUAAAAGUUUUUUUAUUUAAAUGUUUAUCCAUCUGUUCUGGAUCUUCUAGAAAUACUGAUUGCACUGCAAUGCUAAAAUGAUCUGAGAUGACUUACAAUUAUUUUUCAAUGAAGAAAUCACCUAACUAUUAAAAAAUCUAGUCAUCCAACUUCAUUCUACCUGUGUGAGAGUUCUUAUUUUGAUUCCUGCCCUUUUAUUACAUUUUAAACGGCUGGGUGGCCAGAACAUGGUGUACCUUUUAAUGCUGGUUUUCAAAUAUGGUGGCAUUAUGGACUAAAUAUCGUACCAAUUGUGUUUCUCUGUUUCAUUGAUUUAGGUUAGUGUUGCCUAACUGCUCAAGUCUUGUAACUGUAGAAUUGCUUCCCUAGCAUGGUAUGUUUCUUUUCUUUUUUUUUAAAAAAAAAAUCGAAUUGUUUUAUGCAUUUGUUCCCACUUUGAGUAAAUUUUAAUUCUGUUAGAUGCAAGUGUUGCUCCCUUAUGUCUCCUUGUUUUCAUGGCUAACUUUAGUUUGGUGAUCAUUGAAAGUGCUGCCACCCAGCCUAUGAUUUCACAGGACUUGAGACAUGGGCGUGUUGCGCCACCAUCUCACUAACUUUUCAAUACAUUUUGUAGUGGGGAAUGUUAAAUGAUCACCUUCAUUAUUACGAAGAGGGGCCAUGGAUGUAACCCUUUUUUGUCCUUUCAUGAUUUCGGUGGACAAACAGAACAGUAGACCAUGAUGGUCCUCAUUUACAAUUGAAAAGUCUCAUGUACUGAUAUUGCAAAGUGAACAAGACUGACGAGUGUCAACAGAAAUGACCAGGUUAAGCUUUCUUGCAGAUGGUUUACUUAUCCAUGUGUUAUUAAUUGUCAGCAAGAUAGGUCCUCUCUGGUUUUCAUCUUCUUUUUUUUUUUUAAAAAAAAAGAAACAGAAAAUACUUGAAGGAAGAACCAAAACUGCUGGGAGUGCGAUGGUGCCGAGAGGCCAGGCGAGCGCAGGAAGGUUUAAGAAAAUUUAGCUGAGAUUGAAGAGAAUGUUGAUUCAAAGAAUGUGGAUAGUUUUGAAUCGCUUGGAAACCAGAAAAUUGUGCAUCUCUGUUUCUUCUUUGGCAGGUGUUCCCUGCUCGCAAUGAAGAUGCGAGCCCGAGAAUUUUAACUGUUUUGUGUUGCAGGAUGGUAGCAAGCAAUGAUCACUAUAUUUUCUUCUCCGCAGUCAAUGUGAACAUCGCUUCAUGCUGUUAUAAAUAGAUUAAUUUAUUGUGUAA